rnacentral:rRNA from 1 species
UCUUCCUCGUGUAGCUCUACGUCUUUACACAUACACCGUACAAAGUCUUAUGGAAUGUGCACCGCGUUUAACGCAAUACAAUACAACUUUCAGCAACGGAUCUCUUGGCUCUCGCAUCGAUGAAGAACGCAGCGAAAUGCGAUAAGUAAUGUGAAUUGCAGAAUUCAGUGAAUCAUCGAAUCUUUGAACGCACCUUGCGCCCCUUGGCUAUUCCGAGGGGCAUGCCUGUUUGAGUAUCAUGAACACCUCAACUCUCAUGGUUCGCCGUGAUGAGCUUGGACUUCUGGAGGUUUUGCUGGCCUUUGGUCGGCUCCUCUCAAACGGAUCAGCUUGCCAGUGUUUGGUGGCGUCAUGGGUGUGAUAAAUAUCUACGCUUGUGGCCGUCUGCCAGGUAACCUUCAGCGAUGGAGGUUCGCUGGAGCUCACAAAGGUCUUCCUCAGCGAAGACAGCUUUUUGAACGUUCGAUCUCAAAUCAGGUAGGACUACCCGCUGAACUUAAGCA